rnacentral:rRNA from 1 species
GACGGAGGAGGCAAGCGUUAUCCGGAAUUAUUGGGCGUAAAGCGUCCGUAGGUGGUUGUUCAAGUCUUUAGUUAAAGGUUGGGGCUUAACUCCAAAUAGGCUAAGGAAACUGAGCGACUUGAGUAUGGUAGGGGUAGAGGGAAUUCCUGGUGUAGCGGUGAAAUGCGUAGAUAUCAGGAAGAACACCAGUGGCGAAGGCGCUCUACUGGGCCAUAACUGACACUGAGGGACGAAAGCUAGGGGAGCGAAAAGGG